rnacentral:rRNA from 1 species
AGUGAUUCUCAAGUAGCACAGAAGGCACCAAAUCCCAUCUGAUCUUAGCAGUCAGACAGUGUCAGCCUGCUUAGUACUUGGGAUGGGAGAUUGCCAAAGAAUAUCAGGCACUGUAGGUA